rnacentral:rRNA from 1 species
UUCCGGUUGAUCCCGCCGGACCCGACUGCUAUCAGAGUGGGACUAAGCCAUGCGAGUCAACAUAGCAAUAUGUGGCAUACGGCUCAGUAACACGUAGUCAACAUGCCCAGGGGACGUGGAUAACCUCGGGAAACUGAGGAUAAGCCGCGAUAGGUCAUCACUUCUGGAAUGGGUAAUGACUUAAACCUAUAUGGCCCCUGGAUUGGACUGCGGCCGAUCAGGCCGUUGGUGAGGUAAUGGCCCACCAAACCUGUAACCGGUACGGGCUCUGAGAGGAGGAGCCCGGAGAUGGGCACUGAGACAAGGGCCCAGGCCCUAUGGGGCGCAGCAGGCGCGAAACCUCUGCAAUAGGCGAAAGCUUGACAGGGUUACUCUGAGUGAUUUCCGUUAAGGAGAUCUUUUGGCACCUCUAAAAAUGGUGCAGAAUAAGGGGUGGGCAAGUCUGGUGUCAGCCGCCGCGGUAAUACCAGCACCCCGAGUGGUCGGGACGUUUAUUGGGCCUAAAGCAUCCGUAGCCGGUUCUACAAGUCUUCCGUUAAAUCCACCUGCUUAACAGAUGGGCUGCGGAAGAUACUAUAGAGCUAGGAGGCGGGAGAGGCAAGCGGUACUCGAUGGGUAGGGGUAAAAUCCGUUGAUCCAUUGAAGACCACCAGUGGCGAAGGCGGCUUGCCAGAACGCGCUCGACGGUGAGGGAUGAAAGCUGGGGGAGCAAACCGGAUUAGAUACCCGGGUAGUCCCAGCUGUAAACGAUGCAGACUCGGUGAUGAGUUGGCUUAUUGCUAACUCAGUGCCGCAGGGAAGCCGUUAAGUUUGCCGCCUGGGGAGUACGGUCGCAAGACUGAAACUUAAAGGAAUUGGCGGGGGAGCACCACAAGGGGUGAAGCCUGUGGUUCAAUUGGAUUCAACGCCGGA